rnacentral:rRNA from 1 species
GACGAACGCUGGCGGCGGGCUUUACACAUGCAAGUCGAACGGAAAGGCCCUGCUUUUGUGGGGUGCUCGAGUGGCGAACGGGUGAGUAACACGUGAGUAACCUGCCCUUGACUUUGGGAUAACUUCAGGAAACUGGGGCUAAUACCGGAUAGGAGCCCCUGCUGCAUGGUGGGUGCUUGAAAGUUUCGGCGGUUGGGGAUGGACUCGCGGCUUAUCAGCUUGUUGGUGGGGUAGUGGCUUACCAAGGAUUUGACUGGUUGUCGGCCUGAGUGGGUGACCGGCCACAUAGGGAACGAGAUACGGCCCAGACUGCUACGGGAGGCAGAAGUGGGGAAGAUUGCACAAUGGGCGGAAGCCUGGUGCAGCAAUGCCGCGUGCGGGAUGACGGACUUCGGGUUGUAAACCGCUUUCGCCUGUGACGAAGCGUGAGUGACGGUAAUGGGUAAAGAAGCACCGGCUAGCUACGUG